rnacentral:rRNA from 1 species
GACGAACGCUGGCGGCGUGCUUAACACAUGCAAGUCGAACGGUAAGGCCCUUCGGGGUACACGAGUGGCGAACGGGUGAGUAACACGUGGGUGAUCUGCCCUGCACUUCGGGAUCAGCCUGGGAAACUGGGUCCAAUACCGGAUAGGACCACUGGCUGCAUGGGUGGUGGUGGAAAGCGUUUGUGGCGUGGGAUGGGCGCGCGGCCUAUAAGCUUGUUGGUGGGGUGAUGGCCGACCAAGGCGACGACGGGUAGCCGGACUGAGAGGGUGACCGGCCACACUGGGACUGAGAUACGGCCCAGACUCCUACGGGAGGCAGCAGUGGGGAAUAUUGCACAAUGGGCGCAAGCCUGAUGCAGCGACGCCGCGUGAGGGAUGACGGCCUUCGGGUUGUAAACCUCUUUCAGCACCGACGAAGCGCAAGUGACGGUAGGUGCAGAAGAAGGACCGGCCAACUACGUGCCAGCAGCCGCAGUAA